rnacentral:misc_RNA from 1 species
CCGCGCACGCGUUAUCUAACUUGCCGGUGGCGGCACUGUCCGUUGCUUGGCCAAAGUCCUCGAUAACCUUCUCUUCUCGGAGAGGGGGCCUCGGGGUAAAAGAACCCACGGCGCCGAAGGCGUCAAGGAACACUGUGCCUAACUCGGGGAUGCGGCUGGCUUGCUAGCCGCCCCUCGUGUUGCAAUGCUAUUUAAUCCACAUGACUCUCGGCAACGGAUAUCUCGGCUCUCGCAUCGAUGAAGAACGUAGCGAAAUGCGAUACCUGGUGUGAAUUGCAGAAUCCCGCGAACCAUCGAGUCUUUGAACGCAAGUUGCGCCCGAGGCCACCUGGUUGAGGGCACGCCUGCCUGGGCGUCACGCCAAAUACGCUCCCACAUACCCCUCAUCGGGCAGUGGGAUGCGGCAUGUGGCCCCCCGUCACGCAAGAGGCGGUGGGCCGAAGAUGCGGCUGCCGGCGUAUCGUGUCGGACACAGCGCGUGGUGGGCGACCUCGCUUUACUUACCGCAGUGCAUCCGGCACGUAGCCGACGUGUUGGCCUCAAUUGACCCUAUAAACGGAGUGCAUGACGCUUCGACC